GUCCACGCCCUAAACUAUGGAUACUCGACAUACGCGAUAAACUGUGUGUGUCUGAGCGAAAGCAUUAAGUAUCCCACCUGGGAAGUACGAUCGCAAGAUUGAAACUCAAAGGAAUUGGCGGGGUCGCACAAGCGGUGGAGCAUGUGGUUUAAUUUCGAUGAUACGCGAGGAACCUUACCUUGGGCGUAGAAUGCUGGGAGGACCGUGGGUGGAAAGACUCACUUUGUAGCAAUACACUGCCAGUAAGGUGCUGCAUGGCUGUCGU
rnacentral:rRNA from 1 species